rnacentral:rRNA from 1 species
GAUGAACGCUAGCGGCAGGCCUAAUACAUGCAAGUCGGACGGGAUUCAGGAGCUUGCUUCUGAUGAGAGUGGCGCACGGGUGCGUAACACGUAUGUAACCUACCUUUAUCAGGGGGAUAGCCUCUCGAAAGAGAGAUUAAGCCCGCAUAAAAUCACAGCACAGCAUUGUGUAAUGAUCAAAUAUUUAUAGGAUAAAGAUGGGCAUGCGGAACAUUAGCUAGAUGGCGGGGUAACGGCCCACCAUGGCGACGAUGUUUAGGGGAUCUGAGAGGAUGGCCCCCCACACUGGUACGGAGACACGGACCAGACUCCUUCGGGAGGCAGCAGUAAGGAAUAUUGGUCAAUGGGCGGAAGCCUGAACCAGCCAUGCCGCGUGCAGGAAGACGGCCCUACGGGUUGUAAACUGCUUUUAUACGGGAAUAAACCCAGAUACGUGUAUCUGGCUGAAUGUACUGUAAGAAUAAGGAUCGGCUAACUCCGUG